AACGAACGCUGGCGGCAGGCCUAACACAUGCAAGUCGAGCGAAGCCUUCGGGCUUAGCGGCGGACGGGUGAGUAACGCGUGGGAACGUGCCCUUUGCUACGGAAUAGCCCCGGGAAACUGGGAGUAAUACCGUAUGUGCCCUUCGGGGGAAAGAUUUAUCGGCAAAGGCUAGGCCCGCGUUGGAUUAAGUAGUGGGUGGGGUAAUGGCCUAACAAGCCGACGAUCCAUAGCUGCUUUGAGAGGAUGAUCAGCCACACUGGGACUGAGACACGGACCAGACUCCUACGGGAGGCAGCAGUGGGGAAUCUUAGACAAUGGGGGAAACCCUGAUCUAGCCAUGCCGCGUGAUCGAUGAAGGCCUUAGGGUGGUAAAGAUCUUUCAGUGGGGAAGAUAAUGACUGUACCCACAGAAGAAGCCCCGGCUAACUCCGUGCCAGCCGCCGCGGUAAAAC
rnacentral:rRNA from 1 species